AACAAAAUACAGCAGACAAUCAGGCAAACAAGUGUUGACAAAGAACUACAGACAGAAACUGGGAAAUUGAGAAGCAGAAAGGUAAAUGAGUUAUUUAGAGACCACAGUGAAUAGAUGAGUUUUAAGUUGAGACUUAAAGGUCUGGAGAGAGGAGGCAGCAAUUUUUAAGCAGUUUUCUAAUUUUAAUUGGCUCCACUUCUGAAGAUUCACAACUUCAGGGUGACUUUGUUAAACGUGUGCUGUGUAACAGGAAAAAUGCAUUUGUUCCCUGAUUUAUGAAUGUCCUAAAGGCAUGCCGCAUAUUUUUUUUUUUACUUGUUUUAUCAUAAACUUUACAUAAAAUGUUUUCUCGUAAUCUAGACAUAACAAAAUAGCUGGUAACUUCAGAAAGUAGAAAGGAAAUAACACUUGGCUUCUUCUUAGGGAUUUUCUGAUUGGAUAGUUUAAACGUCGGGAAACGCCCUCUUUUUUGUUCUACUUGAGCUCCACGGCUGCAGUCCUGGAUUCAGUGAGAGCUGAGGAACAAAUCACUUUCAGCAGAAACCGUGAACUAAGAGUCAUCAAAGCUUUCGGACGCAGCUGCAGCGAUCUUCUGAGGAGAGUCGUGACUAAGUGUUGAAUCAAGCAAGAAUAUCUGGAGGAGUAUCAUCUGAACUGAGAUCUGCUGCUGUGAAGAUGAUGUUUAUUAAAGAAGAGAGUGAAGAAAACACGAGUGAACCAGAAACCUGGAGAAUAAAACACGAGGAACAAGGAACAUGGAGAAUAAAACACGAGGAACAAGGAACAUGGAGAAUAAAACACGAGGAACAAGGAACAUGGAGAAUAAAACACGAGGAACCAGAAACCCAGAGAGUAAGACACGAGGAACCAGAAACCUGCAGAAUAAAACACGAGGAACCAGAAACCCGGAGAAUAAAACACGAGGAUCCAGAAACAUGGAGAAUAAAACACGAGGAUCCAGAAACCUGCAGAAUAAAACACGAGGAACCAGAAACCCGGAGAAUAAAACACGAGGAACCAGAAACCUGCAGAAUAAAACACGAGGAACCAGAAACCCGGAGAAUAAAACACGAGGAACCAGAAACCCGGAGAGUAAGACACGAGGAACAAGGAGGUGACAUUCUUGUCUACAUCUGCUCCGGCGUCGAAACAAUGAUGAACUGAUGACAGCUCACUCAGAGCGGGUCUGUGCUAAAACACCAGUGUCAAUCAACAAUCAUGGAAGGAGCCUAGGUCUGUGUGAUGUCACACAGCCAAGAAUUUGUAAACAGCUUGAUCUGAGAAAGGGGUUAUGAUUUAUGGGGAUUAACACACACACACACACACACACACACACACACAAACACACACUGGGUGGAUUUUAUCAUUUUAGGGUGGUUGUGUACAUACACUGCCAAGAAAAAAUUCAGUUCAAACAAGAUGUAAAAGUGAAUUUUGAAUCCAGUGAACCUUUAAACUUACUUUUCAUUGUAUCAACAAUGUAGCGUAUCAGAGCAAAUCAGACAAUUUAAGAUUCAAACAGAACAGUGAUGAAACGCAAAGAGCUGAAUUCCACAUAGAGGCCCAAGACAACAGAUGAUCAUAAAUCAGAUCCCAUCACCAGUCUGAAGUAAGCCUAACCAACCAACUCUUUCAACUGAGAACAGCUUGCUGCAUUAAAACAAAAGAACACUUUACUGAUAAUUCAACUCAGGAAGGAGAUUGUCAAAUUCGGGGGAAGUAACCAAGAUUAAUGGUCAAAGAGACGCACAUGAUGCAGGAUGAACAUCACAUGUAAAUCCAUGAUAGAAAUCAAGAGCUAAAGACUUCCUCGGAUUGACUUCUUCCACCUAGAAGACAAGAACCAGACUGGGAUUCUUUCUAGACCCUUUUGACCUUUUGUUCUUCACAGAACACACCCUCACAUUCACAGAACGACAAAGAGACUGUCUUUUACAUGACUAAAGGCCUUGAUAUACUGAUAUGAUGUAAUUUCGAACAAAAUCAGGCUGAAAUCAAGUUCACUUUGAGUUUGUUUCGACAGUUCAAAACAGCUGACCAAAGCAAACUUUCUGGGGGAGUUCGCUUCAGCUCCUAAACACCUUUGAGUUUCUAUUGGUCCGUGGCGGUUACGCAAUCGGUGGGUGUGUUCUGAAACUCCACCUUCUUUGACAUGUGAAUUUUU
ensembl:lncRNA